AGAUGGGCUGUCAUUCUCUUGCCCAGGCUGGUCUUGGUAUACUGUCCUGUAGCAGUAUAUUUUGGCUACCUGUACUGGCAUUGGCUUUUCCAAGUGUCAAGAUUACAGGAAAAGAAGUUUUAUUAUUGAUGCAAGCCCUAAACACUCUUUCGACUCCAGAGGAGAAGCUGGCAGCUCUCUGUAAGAAAUAUGCUGAUCUUCUGGAGGAAAGCAGGAAUGUUCAGAGGCAAAUGAAGAUUCUGCAGAAUAAGCAAGCUCAGAUUGUCAAAGAGAAAGUUCACUUGCAGAGUGAAUACAGCAAGACCAUCUUGGCAAGAAGCAAGCUAGAAUCUCUUUGCAGGGAACUUCAGCAAAAUUAAUGUCAAAAUAAGACAUUAAAGGAGGAACAUAUGCAGCAGAAAAAAGAGGAGGAAGAAGUUCUUAAAGAAGUAACUGCACAUUUCCAAAUUACUUUAACUGAAACUCAAGCCCAGCUGGAACAGCAUGAAAUACACAAUGCCAAACUGCAGCAGGAGAACAUGGAAAUGGGAGAAAAGCUAAAGAAGCUCACUGACCAGUAUGCACUGAGGGAAGAGGUAAACGGCGUUUGGUUUGUUUAUAGACAGCUGCUCACCAGUAGCAAAAGCUACACCCUACCGUAAAGUAAAAACUCUUUCACAGGACAGUAUUUUAGAACUUUUGUGUAUGCACAGUGGAAAU
ensembl:lncRNA TXLNGY taxilin gamma Y-linked (pseudogene)